rnacentral:rRNA from 1 species
UAGGGAAUCUUCCACAAUGGGCGAAAGCUGAUGGAGCAACGCCGCGUGUGUGAUGAAGGGUUCCGGCUCGUAAAACACUGUUGUAAGAGAAGAAUGACAUUGAGAGUAACUGUUCAAUGUGUGACGGUAUCUUACCAGAAAGGAACGGCUAAAUACGUGCCAG